CGCAUAUUGCGCCCCUUGGUAUUCCGAGGGGCAUGCCUGUUCGAGCGUCAUUAUCACCCCUCAAGCCUAGCUUGGUGUUGGACUUGACUGUAUUUUAGUUAUGGUUGGUCUCAAAGAUAGUGACGGCGUCCUAGAAGGAACCGGUACGAGGAGCUUUCUUAAGCAUGUACACGGCAUGAUUCUAAGGCGACGGUCCUUUAUUUAUAAUUCAUAAGUGUUGACCUCGGAUCAGGUAGGAAUACCCGCUGAACUUAA
rnacentral:misc_RNA from 1 species